GCCCCAUCCUGUUUUUUCGCCGCACGCUCCCCCUCUUUUCUUUCCCGGAACCCAACGCCCUGGGUCAACUCGUCCCCAUCGCGCCGCCGGGUGCCUCACCUCCUCCCUACCCCCAGUCGUGCCUCCUCCGCGCCGCACCGUCGACGCCGCCGUCCGACCUCCUCAUCUCCUCGCUCUCCAUGCGAGGCCACUGCCCCAUCUCCCGAAGUUGCCUCUACCGCCAAAACCGAGGCCACCGCCGCUGCGCCUAUCUAGGUCGACGCGUCUCCAUGCAGCCGCCGCAGCCGCCGUGCUUCCACUCCGCCCCGCAGUCCGCAACCACCUCCCAUCCGCUCCUCUCCAACGCUCGCGCCGCCUCCUCUCCUCCCUCUGCCCAGAUUGGUGGAGGCAAGAUCGAUGGUGGCAUUGGUGGAGGCAAGAUCGAUGGUGGCGUUUAUGAUCCAGAUUGGGGUAAGAGAAGAUCCUUGAUGUAGCGUGAGUAGGCGCCGAAGGGGAACAGAGGGGAGGCCGCGGCCACGAGCAGGGGCAACGAGGAGGGUCGUGCAAGCUAGCUAGGCGGCGGCGCCAUGCGAAGUUUGGCUCCAAGAGGCGGCGUGUGGAACCUGCCAGCCUGGUGCUGCUCGCUGGCCAGCCGACCGCUCCAACCAGGUCGCAAAGGUGUGUCAGGCUGCCACCAUUGAGUUGCUUGCCCUCCCUCACCAAUGUGCGGUACUCUAUGCCCAGAAGAGUUUUGCUGGAUUGCUUGGAUUUUUCUUGAAUGAGAUCCCUUAUUGAAUUGGCCCCAAAUGGAUUGCUCUAGGGUUUAUUGGUCCCUUUUCAUCAGUUUGACUGAGCAAUGAUCGGUUGGCAAGUUAUGGAUUGACCACACAUAUUGGAUGGAUGAUGAGAAGUAAGUCAUGUGCGUAAUAGCCUGUAUCUUUAUCAAAUUAGUUGAUAUAUAUAAGCCCAAGUGUGAUACAGUUAUGCAGAUAUUAAUGAAAAGUUAACCAUCAGGCUAUCAUUGUUGUAAGAAAUAUGUUAACCAUUUUGGUGAUACAGUUAUGCAGAUAUGAUGAGAAAUAAGUUAUGCAGAUAUUAAUGAAAAGUUAACCAUCAGGCUACAUUGUUGUAAGAUACAGUGCAGCCCAACUGUUAUUUUAUAAUGCUAUUUUCCUGGUUUAACAGUUAGUUUGGUUGGCAUCACAUUUCUGGUUUCUGAUCGACAAAUUGUCUGCUUUCAGGUUUCUCAAGUGUUGGGCAUGCUCUCUUCAAUGAUCGGAUUCAAUGCUUGUUGGAACAAACAUAUUUUGUGCACGUGCAGUGCAGGGACAAGCUAAAGAUGGACUCAAAUAGAUCAAUAUUGGAUAUUCAACCUUAUCCACAUGUUUCUUUACGUCCUGAUGAUUCAAAUAGAUUGCUAGAAUUAUGUGGUUCCUGAAUCAUUUUUUAAAAGGUACGAUCCUGAAUUGUUUCAUUAGCAUGCCUCUUUGGUUUAUUUACUGGUGGCUCUGUGACCCCUCUAAGCGUCGAGGAUAUCCCAGUCAUCCACUGUGCAAUGUUCUUAGUAUGUAUUAUUAAAGUAUACAGUAAUACAAAAAAUGGAGCACAAAAGUUGUAAUCGAACCCAGGAGGUCAGGACCUGUUGAGACAGGAGUGCCUAUUAAGGGCAUGUAAUUUUUUCGAACAGGUCUAAUUAAGAGUCUUGUUGCUCAUGUUGGUUCGGUAAGUUAUUAGUACAGUUACAUACUUACCAGAUGAUAGUAUCAAUAUUCAAUACGGCGGUUCACAAUAGAAACAUAUGUUUAAUGUUAAUGAUUUCUCUUACUAUAGGUUAACUUCAUUUUUGUUUGAUUAUCAAGUUCAUGCUAUUUUAUUUUAUUAUGAUCUAAGCUAGCAAAGCAAGUUUGGUUAGCUGGUGUUGCAUUUAUCUGUCUUCAGUUUGUGAUUAUUUUUCAGCUGACUGUUCAAAGGCAGUUGUUGAGCAAAUCUCUGGAAGGGACCACACAUCCUACAUUCAUUUAAGCAACCCAGCUGUUUGUUUUACUCAUUCAGACAUUACUGUUGCACUGGCAGAGCUCCAUGUAUGACAAGGGAACCGGCAAAGUCAGGACUUUAGUUGAAUUUCAGGUUACUUUAGUGGUGAACAUGAUCCUGCCUGGAAGACGGAACAAUUAAGAUACUCGCUAACUGUGAACCUGUUGAAAAUAUAAUUGUAGUUAUUGAAUUAUGUGUAGCAUGCAAACUCCAUUCAAAAAAUUCAAUUGUAGACUUGUGUGACAUUAUGUACUAUUCUAAAAUGAUUUUUAUUGUGUGCAUUAUGUAGAA